rnacentral:rRNA from 1 species
CAGUAGCCGCGGUAAGACAGAGGAUGCAAGCGUUAUCCGGAAUGAUUGGGCGUAAAGCGUCUGUAGGUGGCUUUUCAAGUCCGCCGUCAAAUCCCAGGGCUCAACCCUGGACAGGCGGUGGAAACUACCAAGCUGGAGUACGGUAGGGGCAGAGGGAAAUUCCGGUGGAGCGGUGAAAUGCGUUGAGAUCGGAAAGAGCACCAACGGCGAAAGCACUCUGCUGGGCCGACACUGACACUGAGAGACGAAAGCUAGGGGAGCAAAUGGGAUUAGAUACCCGCGUAGUCCCUGUCUCUUAUAC